rnacentral:sRNA from 1 species
CGGGCAUGAGCUGUGGGCAGAUCAGAUGCACAUGGCAGUCGAUGCCGCCCGCGGUCACGAUGCGGCCGUUGCCGCCGAUGACUUCGGUGGACGGCCCGACGACCAGGUCCCGGUGCACACCCGUCAUGGUGUCGGGGUUGCCGGCCUUGCCGAUCCCGACGAUGCGCCCGUCCCGAAUGCCGAUGUCGGCCUUGAUUAUUCCCCAGUGGUCGAUGAUCACCGCGCCGGUGAUCACCGUGUCGGGUGCGCCCUCGGCCCGUGACGCCCGGCCCUGGCCCAUCGACUCGCGCAG